CAGAAUUCCAAGGAAACCUACUUUCAACAGUGUGAGGCCUGUGCCUCAGUCAGCCGGGUGUGGAGUGGCCAGGUCGCACAUCAGCUGCAGGCACAGCCAGUUCAUGGGUAGACAGCCACAUCCUGCCCCAGGAGGAGGGCAGCCAGCAUGGGCGAUGCAAGCUCCCCUCGUCUGGAACCAGCACAACCUCAGGCACUCGAGCCUUGGCCCCUCACAAGCAACGUCCUCAAUGGGUGGCGUUCGUUCAUCUUGGAGGCAUAGCUGGGACCCCAGGGACAGGAGCUGCCCGGCUGGCUCCACCCCGGAACACAGGACCUGCCUCCAAGCUCCUUCGAGGUUGGGAUCUGUGAGCAAACAUAAAAACCGAUCAUCACAAUAAUUGCCACAUCACAGAAGACUGUUGCAUCCAUGAAUGCCUUUAAUCCCCAGUCCGCUGGCCACGAAGCGGAUUAGGAGAGAGAGGUUUAGUCCCAGACCUGCCUCAUUAAAAACAUCUCCUUUCUACCAUGAGGACUUU
rnacentral:lncRNA from 1 species